CCUACGGGAGACAGCAGUGGGGAAUAUUGGACAAUGGGGGGAACCCUGAUCCAGCGACGCCGCGUGAGUGAAGAAGUAUUUCGGUAUGUAAAGCUCUAUCAGCAGGGAAGAAAGAAAUGACGGUACCUGACUAAGAAGCCCCGGCUAACUACGUGCCAGCAGCCGCGGUAAUACGUAGGGGGCAAGCGUUAUCCGGAUUUACUGGGUGUAAAGGGAGCGUAGACGGCGAUGCAAGUCUGAAGUGAAAGGCGGGGGCUCAACCCCCGGACUGCUCUGGAAACUGUACGGCUGGAGUGCAGGAGAGGUAAGUGGAAUUCCUAGUGUAGCGGUGAAAUGCGUAGAUAUUAGGAGGAACACCAGUGGCGAAGGCGGCUUACUGGACUGUAACUGACGUUGAGGCUCGAAAGCGUGGGGAGCAAACAGGAUUAGAUACCCCGGUAGUC
rnacentral:rRNA from 1 species